CCCCACAGCCAUACCACACGGAACGCACCCAAUCUCAUCUGAGCUUGGAAGCUAAGCAGGGUCGGGGCUGGUUAGUACUUGGAUGGGAGACUGCCUGGGGAUACAGGGUGCUGUAGGUU
rnacentral:rRNA from 1 species